rnacentral:rRNA from 1 species
CAGCAGCCACGGGAAUACGUAGGUGGCGAGCGUUGUCCGGAAUUAUUGGGCGUAAAGGGCUCGCAGGCGGUUUCUUAAGUCUGAUGUGAAAGCCCCCGGCUCAACCGGGGAGGGUCAUUGGAAACUGGGAAACUUGAGUGCAGAAGAGGAGAGUGGAAUUCCACGUGUAGCGGUGAAAUGCGUAGAGAUGUGGAGGAACACCAGUGGCGAAGGCGACUCUCUGGUCUGUAACUGACGCUGAGGAGCGAAAGCGUGGGGAGCGAACAGGAUUAGAUACCCCAGUAGUCCCUGUCUCUUAUAC